AGGAAGACAUGUUGAAAUAUAAAAACGGAACAUUAAUAUAAGUAUAAUUCAGUAUAAUUGAAUGGUAAACAAGUCAAUUUUCCAGUGAAUAAUCGCUUCGGAGCUGCCGGUUCUCCGCCUGGCCGCCAGGUGGCGCUCGCGCGCGGAGCCCCGCUGUUCCCGCCGCAGAAGAAGAAGGAGCGCCGUGUCCUUCACAACAGCCAACAUGGCGACCGCGACCAAAAUCGUCCAGAGAAUCAGAAACUUUCUGGCAGGGCACAACUUGCAAGCCAAACUGCAGCUGAGAUAUGAGGAGAUAGCAAAGAGGUGUGUCUCUGCAGGACGCAG